rnacentral:rRNA from 1 species
ACGUAGGGUGCGAGCGUUAAUCGGAAUUACUGGGCGUAAAGCGUGCGCAGGCGGUUAUGUAAGACAGAUGUGAAAUCCCCGGGCUCAACCUGGGAACUGCAUUUGUGACUGCAUGGCUAGAGUACGGUAGAGGGGGAUGGAAUUCCGCGUGUAGCAGUGAAAUGCGUAGAUAUCGGGAGGAACAUCUGUGGCGAAGGCGACUACCUGGACCAGCACUGACACUGAGGCACGAAAGCGUGGGGAGCAAACAGGA